UCAGUGUCAUAUUGGGACUUGGCAAAGAUAAGUUUUUUCAUCUACCAAUUUUUUUUUUUUUUUUGGUUUUUGUUAAAGUUAAGGUUGCUGAAUUCCAACUAAUAUAAUUCUUCUCAAGACAUAGAAAUUUCUUUUAUUUUUCAGUUAGGAUACAAAAUAAAAAGAAAUUAGCCUUUUGGUUAACUGAAUAAUUAGGUUGAACUACAAAUAAUUGGGGCAUACUUUACUAAUCUGACAAUUCCUCACGAGAGCGUUUGUAGUCCAACGGUUAGGAUUGCCUUCCAAGCAAUAGACCCGGGUUCAGACGCAUUUGAUCACUUUUUGUACCGUAUUGCCCCUUUUCCCUUCUUAUUAAAAAAUUAAAAGAAAAACUUAAAUAUUUUUCCACCUCGACACACGUGCCGCUUGGUUAUUUUUCCGACGGAGAAUAAAUAUUCUCUUUCUUUGCAACUCCGGAACUGAAACAUUCUCUGCUUCUGGAAGUACCUGCCACUUGAGUUUUCCGAUGGUGUAACUAAGCAAGACAAUGUUUUGAGUUAAAAUGUCAAGUUCUGGUAAACGGGGCUUUCUGAGAAUUGAACUCGGGACCUCUCACACCCUGAGCGAGAAUCAUACCACUAGACCAACUGCCCUGUUGUUGAAUUUAUUUUCUCCUCUAUGGAUCACUUAGGAGUUGGGCUUUGGACUUUCAUAUGUGGUAAAGUUGCAGUUUAUUUCCACUUCCCUUCUUGACUUGCAAUGGGGUGAAUGAUAAAGUUGCACUAUUCUUUUUGCGAAGCAGUUGAUAUACUGUGUUCUAUGUUGGAUUUUGGACUUUCAGAUCUGGUAAAAGUUGCAGGGAUCACUUAGGAGUUUUAUGUCGGACUUUGGACUUUCAGAUCUGGUAAAGUUGCAGCUCAUUACAAGUUGGCUCAGAAAACAACAUGAACCUUGUGAUGUUCAUGCAUUGCUAAAUUAAAAAUGAAUGAAUGAUUCAUCAAGAGGCGUUGUUAAUCUGUGCUCUUGUGCCAAACAGACAACAUACCUCCAUAGCAAUCCUUGAUUUUGGGAUCACUUAGAAGUUCUAUGUUGGAUUUUGGACUUUCAGAUCUGGUGAAAUUGCAGUAGCACUUGGAGAAGGCAAGGAAGACACUAUUAUGGUCAGCAUGCAAGGAUGGGAAUUUCUAUGAAAUCAUGUUAUGAACUAUAGAAAAAACAAGCAGGUUCAAGGCAUGGAUAGAAGAUUGAAGAAAGGCUUGUUUAUUUGAUGCAUAACUGAUUAAUAUGUAUGCCUCAAAAUACAUGGUUUUCCUUGUUUGUUUUAUGCUUAAAUGUUAUUCAAAUUAAUUACAUGCAUUGGUGUUCCUAGUUUGAGUCUUGGGCGUG